rnacentral:rRNA from 1 species
GGAGGUAUCAGAAGUGCGAAUGCUGACGUGAGUAACGACAAAACGGGUGAAAAACCCGUUCGCCGAAAGACCAAGGGUUCCAGUCCAACGUUAAUCGGGGCUGGGUGAGUCGACCCCUAAGGCGAGGCCGAAAGGCGUAGUCGAUGGGAAAAUGGUUAAUAUUCCAUUACUUCUGUGUAAUGCGAUGAGAGGACGGAGAAGG